UACGGGGGGGGGCAAGCGUUGUUCGGAAUUACUGGGCGUAAAGGGCUCGUAGGCGGCCAACUAAGUCGGACGUGAAAUCCCCCAGGCUCAACCCUGGGAACUGCAUCCGAUACUGGAUGGCUUGAAUUCGGGAGAGGGAUGCAGAAUUCCAGGUGUAGCGGUGAAAUGCGUAGAUAUCUGGAGGAAUACCGGUGGCGAAGGCGGCAUCCUGGACCGACAUUGACGCUGAGGAGCGAAAGCCAGGGGAGCAAACGGG
rnacentral:rRNA from 1 species